ensembl:lncRNA
UCUGCAGAGAAAUCAACAUUUGGCCUUUUAGCCGUCGGGUACGUUGAGGUCAUGUUCACCUCUGGAUGGAACCAAAGCAGCAGAAAUGUCUGGAAUCUAAUGAAAGACACGUAGUGACUGUUUUAAGUAAGUACUUGGUUGGUCUUUUGUGUUUUAUUAAGUUGAAAUCCACACAAACCCAAACAAAUCGAAUCCACGUUUAGCAAGGCCCAAAUGUGAUUUAUAUAAUCCCGACCCCUAGAUUUUCUCUCGGCUGUGAUCAGGAAUGUUUGAAUCAGAUUUUUACUCAGUGAAGGUUAGAUGGUAAAAAAAAACACUCCACAGAGAACACAGUAACAAGUUUAUCUGUGGACUUCGGUUUAGGAGAGUCACAGCUGGAAUGUUUUCUUCUAAAAACAUCCUGAGAAAGUUCUGCAAAGUUCUAGUGCUAGAACUCUGGAACUCUUCUUUCUUUUCCUCAGAAUGUUUUUUCUUAAAGGCAAUGGUCUUCAAAUAUUUCCCAAAUGUUGAAUGUUUACAAAGAACAUGAGAACAAAAAAAAGCAAAUUUAAAUAGUGGAAAAGCAUAAUGCAGUACAAGUGUUUCAAGGAAGUACUUUUACUCAAGUACUCCUCAUCAGGUACUUUCCAGAAAGAAGGGAAGGAGCCACAACAAUGGUUGACGUUACCUACAAGUUCUAAAAAUGUUCUAAAGAAAACAUUUUAAUCUGAUGUUCAAAGAGCAUUUUAAGGAUAUUUAUCAUUUCUAAUAAUGUUCCUGUGAGGUUAAAAGUGAACUGAAGUGGAACGUUUUAACAUUCAGAGGAUGUUUGGAGAAUGUUGUCAGAUUAUGUUCCAUGAUAACAAAAGAAGAACAUUCUCAAAACAAUGUAGCAAGGGUUUGCCUUAUUACAAUGUGGUUGAAUUAGGUGAGAAUAUAUACUGGGCUAUUGUCAGAAGAUUAGAUUCGGCUACUGGAGGGCAGUGCAGUAAAUGAGACCAGGAGAUAGUAAUUUGAUUUUAAAUGGGGAAAUAUAUUGUAAGAAUGUGAACAAAAUAAAGCAAAACGUAUUUACAAACUGCAGUAAUUUCUGUGCACAGAUUAAUCAAUCAAUCAAAAGAACAACAACCAGUCAACAAUACAAUUGCUUCUGUUUCUCAUGAAGUUCAAUAAAUCAAACUAGAAAAAGAAAACAAAAUGGAUCCCAAGGUCCGACCAAGCAUUUGGGUGGCUCCAAACGCAUACUGAGCGCAAUUGUUCAUUUGGGGCUUUUAUUGUUUGAGGGGAGUAGUUUCCAAAGCGCAAACUGUCCAGAGGGGGAGUAGGUGGAUGUGGAAGGGCUCAGUAGUGAGAAGGUGGGAGAGUGAGCAGGCUGCUAAGCCUCCUACCAGACCAUGGGAUGUUGACAAAGGGUUGGGAUUUCUUCAGCCUCCUGGCUUGGGAUCGAAGCUCGCCAUCGAAUAGAUACAGGAAACCCAUGAGGGAUCAGGGGCAUCUGGCCUAGAUGAAUCAAAAUACCAGUCUUUAGGCCUUUGUUAGCUGGUGGCUAAUUGCUAAGCUAGC